rnacentral:rRNA from 1 species
GACCAGACUCCUACGGGAGGCAGCAGUGGGGAAUAUUGCGCAAUGGGGGCAACCCUGACGCAGCAACGCCGCGUGAUUGAAGAAGGCCUUCGGGUUGUAAAGAUCUUUAAUCGGGGACGAAUUUUGACGGUACCCGAAGAAUAAGCUCCGGCUAACUACGUGCCAGCAGCCGCGGUAAUACGUAGGUGGCAAGCGUUAUCCGGAUUUACUGGGUGUAAAGGGCGAGUAGGCGGGAUUGCAAGUCAGAUGUGAAAACUAUGGGCUCAACCGAUAGAGUGCAUUUGAAACUGCAGUUCUUGAGUGAUGGAGAGGCAGGCGGAAUUCCCGGUGUAGCGGUGGAAUGCGUAGAUAUCGGGAGGAACACCAGUGGCGAAGGCGGCCUGCUGGACAUUAACUGACGCUGAGGCGCGAAAGCGUGGGGAGCAAACAGGAUUAGAUACCCGAGUA